rnacentral:rRNA from 1 species
AUUGAACGCUGGCGGCAGGCUUAACACAUGCAAGUCGAACGAGUGGCGGACGGGUGAGUAAUGCUUGGGAAUCUAGCUUAUGGAGGGGGAUAACUACGGGAAACUGUAGCUAAUACCGCGUACCCUAGGAUGAGCCCAAGUGGGAUUAGGUAGUUGGUGAGGUAAAGGCGUACCAAGACGACGAUCACUAGCUCGUCUGAGAGGAAGACCAGGCACACGGGAACUGAGACACGGCCCAGACUCCUACGUGAGGCAGCAGUGGGGAAUAUUGCGCAAUGGGGGCAACCUGACGCAGCCAUGCCGCGUGAAUGAAGAAGGCCUUCGGGUUGUAAAGUUCUUUCGGUAGCGAGGCGUUAACUACAGAAGAAGCACCGGCUAACUCCGUGCCAGCAGCCGCGGUAAUAC